GGUUGCGAUCAUACCAGCACUAAUGCACCGGAUCCCAUCAGAACUCCGCAGUUAAGCGUGCUUGGGCGAGAGUAGUACUAGGAUGGGUGACCCCCUGGGAAGUCCUCGUGUUUCAACCC
rnacentral:rRNA from 1 species